rnacentral:rRNA from 1 species
GAAGGGACCUAGCGUAGUUCGGAAUUACUGGGCUUAAAGAGUUCGUAGGUGGUUAAAAAAGUUGGUGGUGAAAUCCCAGAGCUUAACUCUGGAACUGCCAUCAAAACUUUUUAGCUAGAGUAUGAUAGAGGAAAGCAGAAUUUCUAGUGUAGAGGUGAAAUUCGUAGAUAUUAGAAAGAAUACCAAUUGCGAAGGCAGCUUUCUGGAUCAUUACUGACACUGAGGAACGAAAGCAUGGGUAGCGAAGAGGAUUAGAUACCCUCGUAGUCCAUGCCGUAAACGAUGUGUGUUAGACGUUGGAAAUUUAUUUUCAGUGUCGCAGUGAAAACAAUAAACACACCGCCUGGGGAGUACGACCGCAAGGUUAAAACUCAAAUGAAUUGACGGGGACCCGCACAAGUAGUGGAGCAUGUGGUUUAAUUCGAAGAUACGCGCAGAACCUUACCAACACUUGACAUGUUCGUCGCGACUCUAAGAGAUUAGAGUUUUCGGUUCGGCCGGACGAAACACAGGUGCUGCAUGGCUGUCGUCAGCUCGUGUCGUGAGAUGUUGGGUUAAGUCCCGCAACGAGCGCAACCCUUACUUUUAGUUGCCAUCAUUUAGUUGGGCACUCUGAAAGAACUGCCAGUGAUAAGCUGGAGGAAGGUGGGGAUGACGUCAAGUCCUCAUGGCCCUUACGUGUUGGGCUACACACGUGCUACAAUGGCAUUUACAAUGGGAAGCAAGAUGGCGACAUCAAGCAAAUCCUAAAAAAAUGCCUCAGUUCGGAUUGCACUCUGCAACUCGAGUGCAUGAAGCUGGAAUUACUAGUAAUCGUGGAUCAGCGUGCCACGGUGAAUACGUUCCCGGGUCUU